rnacentral:lncRNA from 1 species
GGUAGAAGCUGUUCAGCAGGUCUUAUGGCUAGCGGGUAGAAGCUGUUCAGCAGGUCUUAUGGCUAGCGGGUAGAAGCUGUUCGGCAGUCUUAUGGCUAGCGGGUAGAAGCUGUUCAGCAGGUCUUAUGGCUAGCGGGUAGAAGCUGUUCAGCAGUCUUAUGGCUAGCGGGUAGAAGCUGUUCAGCAGGUCUUAUGGCUAGCAGGUAGAAGCUGUUCAGCAGUCUUAUGGCUAGCGGGUAGAAGCUGUUCAGCAGUCUUAUGGCUAGCGGGUAGAAGCUGUUCAGCAGGUCUUACGGCUAGCAGGUAGAAGCUGUUCAGCAGUCUUAUGGCUAGCGGGUAGAAGCUGUUCAGCAGGUCUUACGGCUAGCAGGUAGAAGCUGUUCAGCAGUCUUAUGGCUUGGGGGUAAAAGCUGUUAUGGAGCCUUUUGGACCUAGACUUGGCGCUCCAGUACCGGUAGCAGAGAUAACAGUCUAUGACUUGGGUUGACCAUUUUUUGGGCUUCCCUCUGACACCGCCUAGUUUAGAGGUCCUGGAUGGAAGGAAGCUUGGCCCCAGUGAUGUAUGAUGUGAAUGGGGGUGUGUUCGGCCCUCCAUUUCCUGUUGUCCAUGAUCAGCUCCUUUGUCUUGAUCACAUUGAGGGAGAGGUUGUUGUCCUGGCAGUUUAGUCCCAGGGUCCUUAGCUUAGUGAUGAGCUUUGAGGCCACUAUGGUGUUGAAUGCUGGGCUGUAGUCAAUGAACAGCAUUCUCACAUAGGUGUUCCUAUUAUCCAGGUGGGAAAGGGCAGUGUGGAGUACAAUAGAGAUUGCGUCAUCUGUGGAUCUGUUGGAGCGGUGUGUGAAUUGGAGUGGGUCUAGGGUUUCCGGGAUGAUGGUGUUGAUGUGAGCCAUGACCAGCAUUUCAAAGCACUUCAUGGCUACAGAUGUGAGUGCUACGGGUCUGUAGUCAUUUAGGUAGAUGGUUACUGCUGUUCGUUUUAUUAACCAUUGAUAUGACGAUUUAAGUGGAGUAAGAG